GGGGGACAGCGGCAAGCACCGCUGCCGCCCCAUCCUCAGAGCUCCCUCUCCGCGCUGCCCCAGGAGCACCUUCUCCCGGGCCCUUCCAGGAUGUGCUCAUUUUUACUACAUAAGCUUCUAACUGUGCCCACGCGCAUUGGUAACCCCCAGCUUUUAAUCAGUGGGUACCAGUUUUUAGGAAUCAACUACCCAGGAAAAACGAUUUUUACUCAUAUGAGCCACCUUCUGAGAAUCCUCCCCCAGAAACAGGAGAAUCAGUGUGUCUCCAGCUUAAGUCUGGUGCUCAUCUCUGCAGGGUUUGUGGCUGUUUAGGCCCCAAAACGUGCUCCAGAUGCCACAAAGCAUAUUACUGCAGCAAGGAGCAUCAGACCCUAGACUGGAGAUUGGGACAUAAGCAGGCUUGUGCACAACCAGAUCAUCUGGACCAUAUAAUUCCAGACCACAACUUCCUUUUUCCAGAAUUUGAAAUUGUAAUAGAAACAGAAGAUGAGAUUAUGCCUGAGGUUGUGGAAAAGGAAGAUUACUCAGAGAUUAUAGGGAGCAUGGGUGAAGCACUUGA
rnacentral:sRNA from 1 species